AGCGAACGCUGGCGGCAGGCUUAACACAUGCAAGUCGAGCGGGCACUUUCGGGUGUCAGCGGCGGACGGGUGAGUAACGCGUGGGAACGUGCCCUCUGGUUCGGAAUAACUCAGGGAAACUUGAGCUAAUACCGGAUACGCCCUUUUGGGGAAAGGCUUGCUGCCGGAGGAUCGGCCCGCGUCUGAUUAGCUAGUUGGUGAGGUAACGGCUCACCAAGGCGACGAUCAGUAGCUGGUCUGAGAGGAUGAGCAGCCACACUGGGACUGAGACACGGCCCAGACUCCUACGGGAGGCAGCAGUGGGGAAUAUUGGACAACGGGCGCAAGCCUGAUCCAGCCAUGCCGCGUGAGUGAUGAAGGCCUUAGGGUUGUAAAGCUCUUUUAUCCGGGACGAUAAUGACGGUACCGGAGGAAUAAGCCCCGGCUAACUUCGUG
rnacentral:rRNA from 1 species